AGCUGUCUGUCCGAUUCUACGACCCCCAAUUGAAGGAGAAGCCGGAGCAGGAGCUCUUCCUGAAACCUGAUUGGCUGGACCGCCAGAUAGAGGAGAAGCCGGAGCAGGAGCUCUUCCUGAAACCUUGGCUGAUGGAUCAGCGGCAGCUGGACCGCCAGAUAGAGUUUCUGUCAGUCUUUCCCUUCCAUUGG